UCGGUAGAGCAAAGGACUGAAAAUCCUUGUGUCGGCGGUUCGAUUCCGUCCUGAACCA
rnacentral:tRNA from 1 species